rnacentral:rRNA from 1 species
UACGUAGGGGGCAAGCGUUGUCCGGAUUUAUUGGGCGUAAAGAGCGUGUAGGCGGCCUGACAAGUCUGCUGUGAAAACUCGAGGCUCAACCUCGAGAUGUCGGCGGAAACUGUCUGGCUAGAGUCCGGAAGAGGAGAGUGGAAUUCCUGGUGUAGCGGUGAAAUGCGCAGAUAUCAGGAAGAACACCUAUGGCGAAGGCAGCUCUCUGGGACGGUACUGACGCUGAGACGCGAAAGCGUGGGGGGCGAACGGG